GUUUUCCCAGCAUUGAAGAGUCCGGCUGCGCUCCAUAAACAGAGGAAAAGUCUCGAGCGAUCCAAGACUGGAGAUGAUUUAAAACACAAAAUCAGAAAUCGACCUGAGAAAUCUGAGCUUGCCAACAUGCGUAUUCUACAAGUGAACCAUGGGAAGCUGUCGCAGCAGGGGGACUCGUACGUGUUUGAGGAGGACAGCAGCAGUGAGAGUCUGUCUCCAGAUCAGCCGCACAGUGAGGAGUCCCAGUGUUCAGCUGAAGCACUUACAGAGAACAAGAGCAGCUCCAGCUCACCCACACUCAUCAACACUG